AGAGUUUGAUCCUGGCUCAGGAUGAACGCUAGCGACAGGCUUAACACAUGCAAGUCGAGGGGCAGCAGGGGAGUAGCAAUACUCCCGCUGGCGACCGGCGCACGGGUGAGUAACACGUAUGCAACCUGCCCUUGUCAGGGGGAUAAGCGGAAGAAAUUCCGUCUAAUACCGCAUAACGCUGCGGGGAGACAUCUCCCUGCAGCCAAAGAUUUAUCGGACAAGGAUGGGCAUGCGGCGCAUUAGCUUGUUGGCGGGGUAACGGCCCACCAAGGCGACGAUGCGUAGGGGUUCUGAGAGGAAGGUCCCCCACACUGGUACUGAGACACGGACCAGACUCCUACGGGAGGCAGCAGUGAGGAAUAUUGGUCAAUGGCCGGGAGGCUGAACCAGCCAAGUCGCGUGAGGGAAGACGGUCCUAUGGAUUGUAAACCUCUUUUGUCAGGGAGCAAAAACUGCCACGCGUGGCAGGAUGAGAGUACCUGAAGAAAAAGCAUCGGCUAACUCCGUGCCAGCAGCCGCGGUAAUACGGAGGAUGCGAGCGUUAUCCGGAUUUAUUGGGUUUAAAGGGUGCGUAGGCGGACAGUUAAGUCAGCGGUAAAAUUGAGAGGCUCAACCUCUUCCCGCCGUUGAAACUGAUUGUCUUGAGUGGGCGAGAAGUAUGCGGAAUGCGUGGUGUAGCGGUGAAAUGCAUAGAUAUCACGCAGAACUCCGAUUGCGAAGGCAGCAUACCGGCGCCCAACUGACGCUGAAGCACGAAAGCGUGGGUAUCGAACAGGAUUAGAUACCCUGGUAGUCCACGCAGUAAACGAUGAAUACUAAUUGUUCGGGUCGAGUGAGAUCUGAGUGAUACAGCGAAAGCGUUAAGUAUUCCACCUGGGGAGUACGCCGGCAACGGUGAAACUCAAAGGAAUUGACGGGGGCCCGCACAAGCGGAGGAACAUGUGGUUUAAUUCGAUGAUACGCGAGGAACCUUACCCGGGCUCAAACGACACAGGAAUGAUCUGAGAAAUCAGGCAGUCCUUCGGGACCUGUGUCGAGGUGCUGCAUGGUUGUCGUCAGCUCGUGCCGUGAGGUGUCGGCUUAAGUGCCAUAACGAGCGCAACCCCCAUCGACAGUUGCCAGCAGGUCAAGCUGGGCACUCUGUCGAGACUGCCGGCGCAAGCUGUGAGGAAGGCGGGGAUGACGUCAAAUCAGCACGGCCCUUACGUCCGGGGCGACACACGUGUUACAAUGGCAGGUACAGCGGGAAGCCACCUGGCGACAGGGAGCGGAACCCGAAAGCCUGUCUCAGUUCGGAUUGGAGUCUGCAACUCGACUCCAUGAAGCUGGAUUCGCUAGUAAUCGCGCAUCAGCCACGGCGCGGUGAAUACGUUCCCGGGCCUUGUACACACCGCCCGUCAAGCCAUGGAAGUCGGGAGUGCCUGAAGUGCGCCCAACCAGCGCCCUAAGGUAAAACUGAUGACUGGGGCUAAGUCGUAACAAGGUAGCCGU
rnacentral:rRNA from 1 species